AUACGGAGGGUGCAAGCGUUAUCCGGAUUUAUUGGGUUUAAAGGGUGCGCAGGCGGACCUGUCAGUCAGUGGUGAAAUCCCGGGGCUCAACCCCGGAACUGCCAUUGAUACUACAGGUCUUGAAUACGGUUGAAGUAGGCGGAAUGUAGCAUGUAGCGGUGAAAUGCAUAGAUAUGCUACAGAACACCGAUCGCGAAGGCAGCUUACUAAGCCGAUAUUGACGCUCAGGCACGAAAGCGUGGGUAGCGAACAGGAUUAGAAACCCUAGUAGUCC
rnacentral:rRNA from 1 species